AAGUCGUAACAAGGUUUCCGUAGGUGAACCUGCGGAAGGAUCAUUAAGGAGUAUUUGCGGGAAAUCGAAAGAAAGUACCGCUCUCCCACCCGUGACUAUAUACUAUGUUGCUUUCCGGGCUUAAACCCCCGGAGAGGACCAAACUCUUGAAUUUAUUACUGUCUGAGUACUAUAUAAUAGUUAAAACUUUCAACAACGGAUCUCUUGGUUCUG
rnacentral:misc_RNA from 1 species